rnacentral:rRNA from 1 species
UACGAAGGGGCUAGCGUUGCUCGGAAUCACUGGGCGUAAAGGGUGCGUAGGCGGGUUUUUAAGUCAGGGUGAAAUCCUGGAGCUCAACUCCAGAACUGCCUUUGAUACUGAAGAUCUUGAGUCCGGGAGAGGUGAGUGGAACUGCGAGUGUAGAGGUGAAUUCGUAGAUAUUCGCAAGAACACCAGUGGCGAAGGCGGCUCACUGGCCCGGUACUGACGCUGAGGCACGGAAAGCGUGGGGAGCAAGCAGGAU